UUAAGCGACUAAGCGUACACGGUGGAUGCCCUGGCAGUCAGAGGCGAUGAAGGGCGUGCUAAUCUGCGAUAAGCGCCGGUAAGGUGAUAUGAACCGUUAUAACCGGCGAUACCCGAAUGGGGAAACCCAGUGUGACUCGUCACACUAUCAUUAACUGAAUCCAUAGGUUAAUGAGGCGAACCGGGGGAACUGAAACAUCUAAGUACCCCGAGGAAAAGAAAUCAACCGAGAUUCCCCCAGUAGCGGCGAGCGAACGGGGAGGAGCCCAGAGCCUGAAUCAGCAUGUGUGUUAGUGGAAGCGUCUGGAAAGGCGCGCGAUACAGGGUGACAGCCCCGUACACAAAAGCGCAUGUGCUGUGAGCUCGAUGAGUAGGGCGGGACACGUGGUAUCCUGUCUGAAUAUGGGGGGACCAUCCUCCAAGGCUAAAUACUCCUGACUGACCGAUAGUGAACCAGUACCGUGAGGGAAAGGCGAAAAGAACCCCGGCGAGGGGAGUGAAAAAGAACCUGAAACCGUGUACGUACAAGCAGUGGGAGCCCCACCACCAAAGCAUUCUCUGGUGUUGAAGGCCCUGCAAAGCAGCAUCGCGGUGGCGGAGCGUCGUUUGCGACGCCCAACACACAAAACAAGCGGUGAGUGCUUUGGGGUGGGGUGACUGCGUACCUUUUGUAUAAUGGGUCAGCGACUUAUAUUCUGUAGCAAGGUUAACCGUAUAGGGGAGCCGGAGGGAAACCGAGUCUUAACCGGGCGUUAAGUUGCAGGGUAUAGACCCGAAACCCGGUGAUCUAGCCAUGGGCAGGUUGAAGGUUGGGUAACACUAACUGGAGGACCGAACCGACUAAUGUUGAAAAAUUAGCGGAUGACCUGUGGCUGGGGGUGAAAGGCCAAUCAAACCGGGAGAUAGCUGGUUCUCCCCGAAAGCUAUUUAGGUAGCGCCUCGUGAAUUCAUCUCCGGGGGUAGAGCACUGUUUCGGCUAGGGGGCCAUCCCGGCUUACCAACCCGAUGCAAACUGCGAAUACCGGAGAAUGUUAUCACGGGAGACACACGGCGGGUGCUAACGUCCGUCGUGAAGAGGGAAACAACCCAGACCGCCAGCUAAGGUCCCAAAGUCAUGGUUAAGUGGGAAACGAUGUGGGAAGGCCCAGACAGCCAGGAUGUUGGCUUAGAAGCAGCCAUCAUUUAAAGAAAGCGUAAUAGCUCACUGGUCGAGUCGGCCUGCGCGGAAGAUGUAACGGGGCUAAACCAUGCACCGAAGCUGCGGCAGCGACGCUUAUGCGUUGUUGGGUAGGGGAGCGUUCUGUAAGCCUGUGAAGGUGGCCUGUGAGGGUUGCUGGAGGUAUCAGAAGUGCGAAUGCUGACAUAAGUAACGAUAAAGCGGGUGAAAAGCCCGCUCGCCGGAAGACCAAGGGUUCCUGUCCAACGUUAAUCGGGGCAGGGUGAGUCGACCCCUAAGGCGAGGCCGAAAGGCGUAGUCGAUGGGAAACGGGUUAAUAUUCCCGUACUUGGUGUUACUGCGAAGGGGGGACGGAGAAGGCUAUGUUGGCCGGGCGACGGUUGUCCCGGUUUAAGCGUGUAGGUGUGUGUUCCAGGUAAAUCCGGUUCACUUUAACACUGAGGCGUGAUGACGAGGCACUACGGUGCUGAAGCAACAAAUGCCCUGCUUCCAGGAAAAGCCUCUAAGCAUCAGGUAACAUCAAAUCGUACCCCAAACCGACACAGGUGGUCAGGUAGAGAAUACCAAGGCGCUUGAGAGAACUCGGGUGAAGGAACUAGGCAAAAUGGUGCCGUAACUUCGGGAGAAGGCACGCUGACACGUAGGUGAAGUGAUUUACUCAUGGAGCUGAAGUCAGUCGAAGAUACCAGCUGGCUGCAACUGUUUAUUAAAAACACAGCACUGUGCAAACACGAAAGUGGACGUAUACGGUGUGACGCCUGCCCGGUGCCGGAAGGUUAAUUGAUGGGGUCAGCGCAAGCGAAGCUCCUGAUCGAAGCCCCGGUAAACGGCGGCCGUAACUAUAACGGUCCUAAGGUAGCGAAAUUCCUUGUCGGGUAAGUUCCGACCUGCACGAAUGGCGUAAUGAUGGCCAGGCUGUCUCCACCCGAGACUCAGUGAAAUUGAACUCGCUGUGAAGAUGCAGUGUACCCGCGGCAAGACGGAAAGACCCCGUGAACCUUUACUAUAGCUUGACACUGAACAUUGAGCCUUGAUGUGUAGGAUAGGUGGGAGGCUUUGAAGUGUGGACGCCAGUCUGCAUGGAGCCGACCUUGAAAUACCACCCUUUAAUGUUUGAUGUUCUAACGUGGACCCGUGAUCCGGGUUGCGGACAGUGUCUGGUGGGUAGUUUGACUGGGGCGGUCUCCUCCUAAAGAGUAACGGAGGAGCACGAAGGUUGGCUAAUCCUGGUCGGACAUCAGGAGGUUAGUGCAAUGGCAUAAGCCAGCUUGACUGCGAGCGUGACGGCGCGAGCAGGUGCGAAAGCAGGUCAUAGUGAUCCGGUGGUUCUGAAUGGAAGGGCCAUCGCUCAACGGAUAAAAGGUACUCCGGGGAUAACAGGCUGAUACCGCCCAAGAGUUCAUAUCGACGGCGGUGUUUGGCACCUCGAUGUCGGCUCAUCACAUCCUGGGGCUGAAGUAGGUCCCAAGGGUAUGGCUGUUCGCCAUUUAAAGUGGUACGCGAGCUGGGUUUAGAACGUCGUGAGACAGUUCGGUCCCUAUCUGCCGUGGGCGCUGGAGAACUGAGGGGGGCUGCUCCUAGUACGAGAGGACCGGAGUGGACGCAUCACUGGUGUUCGGGUUGUCAUGCCAAUGGCACUGCCCGGUAGCUAAAUGCGGAAGAGAUAAGUGCUGAAAGCAUCUAAGCACGAAACUUGCCCCGAGAUGAGUUCUCCCUGAGACUUUAGGUCUCCUGAAGGAACGUUGAAGACGACGACGUUGAUAGGCCGGGUGUGUAAGCGCAGCGAUGCGUUGAGCUAAC
rnacentral:rRNA from 1 species